AAAGCGAAUCCAUGAAAUUUUGAAUUCUCUGAAUAAGUGUGGGAAAGAAGUUGGAAGACAGCCUCAAAAACCAGGCAUAAGCAGUCUGUUCAGAAAAGGAUUUCAGUGUGAAGGGAUGCAGUGCAAGCACACUGAACCAAAAAGGAUGGGCUAAGGCUUUCAAAUAUGCCUCUCGGUUCCCCAUUUUAGCUAUCUUAAAGGGGCUUAGUUUUUCAGAGAUUAGGUGUCUUUAAGAUUUGAACCAAGAUGUGGGUCUCUCGGCGUCCAAAGCUGCUGAUGUGUUGAGUGCCUUCCACUUGCAGUGAAGACAAAUGAGGAUGCCCAGUGGUACCUGAGGAUAUAAUCUGGAGACAAUGGGAUUUGGUUGCAUAGAUAACACAGAACUGAGUGGCCCAGUUUUCCUCCAAACCUUUAUUACCUGUGAUGACCUACAGAAAAAAAGAGAAUGGAACCAGGGAGCUAAGAAUCAAGCUAAGUACUCAAAAUUGGCUGUUGGGGAGGGGGGAGAAUCUCUUCAUUUGUAAAUUGGUUCUCAUUUGUUGUGGAAAUUAUUGAGAGAUAAUAAUCGUGAAAUGCCUUGCCACAUUUUUACAGUCACUCUUCAGAGCGGAACUGCCUUCUGGGAAAGGAGCUUUUCUAAGGGGCUCUCGCAGCUUUCCAAUUGGCAGCAUCCCUAAAUUUCCCAGCAGUUAGUAGACAGUUAAAUAAAAAAGCAAAAGAGAAGCCACAAAUACUUCCCACUUCCCCACCCCCAUCGCUGUUUGUGAAAGAUGAGUGCUGGCAAGCGCAGUUGCAUGUCAGCAUUUUAACACAUUGCUUGUCACUAAUGCAGCUACUCAUCCGUGGAAUGGAUAUAUUCAGUGUAAAUAAUGAGUUUAAAAUGUGGUGCUACUGCUGAGUUUAUUAUUGUAAAUUUAAUACAAUUGUAGCACAACUGCAAAAAUGUAUGUAUGCUUGGGCCUCAUUCUGUGAGAUGCUGAAUGCCCUGCAAUUCUAGGAAAAUCAAUCAGAUUUGAGAGACUCAGCAUUCUGUAUUUCAGGGCUCUUGGUUUCCCUGCAUAUUCUGUGUCUGAAUAUCAUUAACACUUCUUGACCCAGAAGUUAUAGGCCAAAUUUCAGGCCCUACUGCAAAUCAAGGGGAAAAUUACCUCUGCAAUGACAAAUGAUAUGACAUUCAAUGCCGAAUAGGCUAGGAAAAAUUCACAUCCAACCAUUCAGACAAUCAGAAUAUUCCCUUAUAACUUGCACAGUAGCAAAACCUAUAGCUAAGAUUUGUAGCUCAAAUUUCAUUGUUGCUUCCUGUUUUAUUAUGUUAAUUACCUUUUUUAAAAUUCCCCAUUGGGGUUGAAACUUCCCAUGCUUGUAGCAUUUUACUGCCAGACAGGCUGGUGUCAGGAUGAACCUGUAGGACAGGAGUGGGGAACCUCAGUCCCUCGGCUUGACUGGAUCCAGCCUCUGAGGCUCAGAGCCCCCCAGCAUUGCUAGCCCAUGCUGGCACUCCAGCCCCCCUGAUCCUCCACUGCAGGGCUAUAGCACAGAAAAUCCACUAGGCUGGGCCCCCUUAUGCUCUGGCGUGGGAGGGGAAUGUGGGAAAUUUAUCCUUCUCAGCCAGGGGCCAUGUCAGUGAGGAUUUGGGUUUUUUGGGGGGAGGGGUUGUUGGUUUUUUUUGCUUCUCACUUCUGUGUAGCCUCUGACUAAUUUUUCUGUGAGUCAGUGGCCCCCAACCCAAAAUAGGUUCCCCACCCGUGCCUUAAAAACUAUAGACAGAAUAUGGUGACUAAUUUUUCUGCGGCUCUCCAUACUUACAGCCUGUGAAUGCCCUGUCCUGGGCUUCUGUUUCGGUCCCCAGCAGGCAGUGUGUCAUGGGAAACCAAAGAUGCCUUCUAGAGUUUACAGGAAGUAUGGAUCUUUACCCUUCCUACAGCACUUAUGCUUAAGCAGAAAGCUUAUUCUCAGCCCAAAGGAAUCAUAGAAUCAUAGGGCUGGAAGAGACCUCAGGAGGCCAGCCCCCUGCCCAAAG